AUUGAACGCUGGCGGCAGGCCUAACACAUGCAAGUCGAACGAGUGGCGGACGGGUGAGUAAUGUCUGGGAAACUGACUGAUGGAGGGGGAUAACUACUGGAAACGGUAGCUAAUACCGCAUACCAUCAGAUGUGCCCAGAUGGGAUUAGCUAGUGGGUGGGGUAACGGCUCCCCAAGGCGAAGAUCCCUAGCUGGUCUGAGAGGAUGACCAGCCACACUGGAACUUGUACACUGUCCAGACUCCUACGGGAGGCAGCAGUGGUGUAUAUUGCACAAUGGGCGCCAUCCUUAUGCAGCCAUGCCGCGUGUAUGAAGAAGGCCUUCGGGUUGUAAAGUACUUUCAGCGGGUAGGCGUUACCCGCAGAAGAAGCACCGGCUAACUCCGUGCCAGCAGCCGCGGUAAUAC
rnacentral:rRNA from 1 species